AUCGGGGGGCAGUGACUGCAGGUAGAGGUGGCUGAAGGGGUGUGUACAGGGUACAGGUGUAAGGGGGUGACGGGGGGAUCGGGGGGCAGUGACUGCAGGCAGAGGUGGCUGAAGGGGUGUGUACAGGGUACAGGUGUAAGGGGGUGACGGGGGGAUCGGGGGGCAGUGACUGCAGGCAGAGGUGGCUGAAGGGGUGUGUACAGGGUACAGGUGUAAGGGGGUGACGGGGGAUCGGGG